rnacentral:rRNA from 1 species
GAUGAACGCUGGCGGCGUACCUAAUACAUGCAAGUCGAGCGAACGGACGAGAAGCUUGCUUCUCUGAUGUUAGCGGCGGACGGGUGAGUAACACGUGGAUAACCUACCUAUAAGACUGGGAUAACUUCGGGAAACCGUAGCUAAUACCGGAUAAUAUUUUGAACCGCAUGGUUCAAAAGUGAAAGACGGUCUUGCUGUCACUUAUAGAUGGAUCCGCGCUGCAUUAGCUAGUUGGUAAGGUAACGGCUUACCAAGGCAACGAUGCAUAGCCGACCUGAGAGGGUGAUCGGCCACACUGGAACUGAGACACGGUCCAGACUCCUACGGGAGGCAGCAGUAGGAAUCUUCCGCAAUGGGCGAAAGCCUGACGGAGCAACGCCGCGUGAGUGAUGAAGGUCUUCGGAUCGUAAAACUCUGUUAUUAGGGAAGAACAUAUGUGUAAGUAACUGUGCACAUCUUGACGGUACCUAAUCAGAAAGCCACGGCUAACUACGUG